CAUCCUGGAAGAGGAAGCCAGGAGCUCAGAAAUGUGUUCAUCUCAGCUGGAGACCAACAGGACUAAGACUGUGAAUUUGAGCCCCAAACGGAGGCAAAAAGUUGCCAGCUGCUUCUGGUGUGUGCGUCAGUGGACAAAUGCACGGAAACAGACCUCCCGGGAAGAACUGAUGGAGGUGCUAGUGGAGGAGUAGAAGGAAUUAUACCAGGAUUGAUUAGAUGUGGAGAGGACCCAAUGAUGGAUACAUUCAAGGACCAGCAGUGCUCUUCAGAGCUGCGUUGCUCAACUUUACAAAGUGAAGACAUUUAUGUGGCUUAUGCCUCAAGGCACUGCUCAUCUGGCCAGUCAAGUGAAAAAUGAAUGGUGAGGAUCUUUCCCUGGCUGCAAGCCCGUAUGUUGAUGAUGAAACAAAGGCUCCGAGAGGAUGAGUGACGAGCUUGAGAUCUCAGCUCUAGGGACAGAAGGAAUUGGGGUUAGAAUCCAGGUUCCCUGGCUC